AAAAUGACUCUCGGCAACGGAUAUCUCGGCUCUCGCAUCGAUGAAGAACGUAGCGAAAUGCGAUACUUGGUGUGAAUUGCAGAAUCCCGUGAACCAUCGAGUUUUUGAACGCAAGUUGCGCCCCAAGCCGUUAGGCCGAGGGCACGCCUGCCUGGGUGUCACAC
rnacentral:rRNA from 1 species